GAUCAACUUGCCGAUAUUCUCACCAAGCCCUUGGGUACCUCCCGUUUUAGGUUCCUAAGGGACAAGCUGAAGAUUCGUGCUCCCGAUUCUUCAUCUUGAGGAGGUGUAUCAGCACACACUCAUUCCAACCCAACAUUCUAUUUUGGCUUGCACUCUUAUUUGGCUCUUUUCUAUGUUUAGCAAGUCAACACAUAUUCAUAUUUGGCUGGCACUCCUAUUUGGUCUUUCUCCUUGUUUAGCUAUUCUACAUUUGGUUUCUCUUUACUUAGUAUGUAAUCGAGAUAUUCCUUCUUCUUGUAAUUGCUACAAUAGCUAGACCUUGUAAUCUAUAUAUACUCCUAUUGGAGAACAAUGAAAAGUAAGAAUCAUAAAUUAUCCUCAAUAAAGAUAUUACCUUCUUUACUCCACAACUAUAGCAAAGAUUAUUUUUGGUGCGAUAAGCAUGCUCAGCAGCAGAUAGUUGUUUAACAGAUAAGUGUUGAGAUGGU
rnacentral:lncRNA from 1 species